rnacentral:rRNA from 1 species
UGCAGUCGAGCGGUAGAGAGAAGCUUGCUUCUCUUGAGAGCGGCGGACGGGUGAGUAAUGCCUAGGAAUCUGCCUGGUAGUGGGGGAUAACGUUCGGAAACGAACGCUAAUACCGCAUACGUCCUACGGGAGAAAGCAGGGGACCUUCGGGCCUUGCGCUAUCAGAUGAGCCUAGGUCGGAUUAGCUAGUUGGUGAGGUAAUGGCUCACCAAGGCUACGAUCCGUAACUGGUCUGAGAGGAUGAUCAGUCACACUGGAACUGAGACACGGUCCAGACUCCUACGGGAGGCAGCAGUGGGGAAUAUUGGACAAUGGGCGAAAGCCUGAUCCAGCCAUGCCGCGUGUGUGAAGAAGGUCUUCGGAUUGUAAAGCACUUUAAGUUGGGAGGAAGGGCAGUUACCUAAUACGUGAUUGUUUUGACGUUACCGACAGAAUAAGCACCGGCUAACUCUGUG